UACAGAGGUCCCAAGCGUUGUUCGGAUUCACUGGGCGUAAAGGGUGCGUAGGUGGUGAGGUAAGUCGGAUGUGAAAUCUCCGAGCUCAACUCGGAAACUGCAUUGGAAACUACCUUGCUCGAGGGUUGGAGGGGGGACUGGAAUGCUUGGUGUAGCAGUGAAAUGCGUAGAUAUCAAGUGGAACACCAGUGGCGAAGGCGAGUCCCUGGACAAUUCCUGACACUGAGGCACGAAAGCUAGGGGAGCAAACAGG
rnacentral:rRNA from 1 species